ACAAUGUCGACACGCAGGCGGAGA
rnacentral:miRNA from 1 species